rnacentral:lncRNA from 1 species
CGUGUGAAGGAAAACAGGUUUGGUCCCCCUUUGCCCUCCCCAGCGACCAAAGAGUUUGUGCUGUUAAUUCGCAGUCAUUAGAAGCAAUUCUCAAAGCUAAAACUGCAGCAUCGCUGACUCCAGCCGAGGACUCGCAGCCCUCGCUCGGUCCGCUCAGUUGUGCCACUGGUCCCAAAUCAUCGCCUGAGGUUCUGCGUCUCAAACACGGUGUCCUCAUCGCUGUCCAUAGAUGCCAUCUCCACGCGUUCAUCGGAGCUGCUCAGCAGACCGUACUUCUUCCGCUGCGGUUUCUUCCACCUGAAAGCGGCGCUGGGUUCGCGUCUGCGUCCGUCGGGCCGGGAGCGGAACGUCCUCAGCACGAAGUAGAGCGCGGCCAACGCCGACAGAGCGCUGACCACGAACACGGCGCGCCGCAGCACCGGCAGCCCCGAUGCGGGCAGCAGCCCCGCGCCCGUCCGCGUCCCGUUCCCCUCCGCCGCCCGCGGGGUCUCCGUGCCGUUGUUGGGAGACGCGGCGCGGCCGCCGUGCAGCAGCAGCAGCAGAACGCAGAGGGGCUGCGGGCGCAGCAUGGCCGGCACGGAGCG